ACUUGGGAGGCAGAACUUCAUCUCCACAAGAGAGGCACAGACGGGCCCCCCUCAAGCUGAUCUUUCACGCCCCUUGGCUGCCCUUGGCUUGUGGGUGGCCGAACCCCAUAGAGUUUGAGCUCUGGCGUCAGGUUGCUCAGAGUCUAACCCAGACUCCAACACUUCGUAGUGUGGCAACCUUGGGCACCGUCUUAGUCUCCCUGUGGCUCCGUUUCUUCAUCUGUGGCAUGAGACAGCGUCGGACUCAAACCCAGAUGAAACACUCCUGAGAAUCUGUUCAUUCACUGGACAUGGGAGACUUGGGGGCAGGAUGUGCUGUCCCCUUAACUCAGCCAUCUGUCACUCUGUAAAUUUUACUCAUGGAUUUCAAAUGUGGAAGGCCCCUGUGGCCCAGGUCGUCCUCCCAUCCCCUGAGGAGAAGACGUUGAUGAGUCCUCUAACAUCAGCCUAUUCAAUCAGGUGACUCUCCAGCUCAAGGUCCUUCAAUGGCUCCGCACUGCUCUCAAGGUGGAGCCCAAGCUCCUUAGCCUGCCACGCACAGCUCUGCAGCACCCGGCCCUGCCUGCUUUUUUAGGGGGCAGCCCAGUCCUGUGCCUGCCCUGGCAGGAAACAGAGGGUUGCCCGAGCUGACCUCUCUCUAGGCCAACACCACGAGGGAACCCUCCACCUCCGCUCGCUCUGCACUUACCCAGGCUUUCCACCAGGCCAUCUGGUUUACCUCAGCGUGCCUUUCGUCAGGGAGAUGAAGAUGUACCGGUCAGGCCUCCCUCCACUCUGAGACUCUGCACACUUGGCCCUGCCGCACUCAGAAGAGCAGGUGGCUUGGGGGUGGGUGUGGUGGCACCAGCAUGCAGGCCCCAGGCCCCACCCCGUACCACACCUGCACACACCCCGCGCUGCCCCCGGGCUCUGGGCUCCUCCUGUGGCUCUCAGGCCCCACCCUGGCACCGGCCCAAAUGCCCUGUGGAAACACACCGCUCGCCGCCAAAUGUCUGAGCUGUGGCUGUUACACAGACUGGGAAUGCUGAGCUCCAACCUGUGAAAACCCCACUUAGCAAACACGGGUCUUCAUUCGGUCUUUGCUAGACCUGAUCUAUAAAAAGGAGUCUGUUUAUUGCACGGCUUCUCCCCAGUGAACAAUGUAAUGGGGAGCUCCGCAAAGGACAUAAAAUAAUAGCAGCCUCCGCUGGUUGGGGCGUCUCUAUGCCUAGAUCCCUCUUUAAUCACUCUGUGCACUCUAUCCUCUUUAAUCUUUGCCACAAAAGUUAAAUGGAAACUCCAAGGUUUAGAUAAUUGGCAUAAGUCACACUUCUGGUGGGAAAAAGCCACGUGAUCCACCAGGCCUCCUGGACUUGCCUGCUCUGCCACGGGCCCUGCAGGACA